AAAAAGAUAAACCAUGAGUUUCUGUGUCCAACUUUAAAUGUCUGUCUUAUAUAAAUUUUUUUAUAAUUCGUAUUUUCAUUGUUGCUAGAUGAUAAAACAUGAUUAAUAUUUUAUACGUGACUUGUCUUUUUAAUUUUUUUCAUAAUUUUUUUAAAUAAGACGGACGGUCAAACGUUGGGCACGGAAAUUAGAGUUUGUCUUUUUU
rfam:Oryza sativa Japonica Group DNA, chromosome 9, cultivar: Nipponbare, complete sequence.